rnacentral:rRNA from 1 species
UACACUCCUGCGGGAGGCAGCAGUGGGGAAUUUUGGACAAUGGGCGAAAGCCUGAUCCAGCAAUGCCGCGUGAGUGAAGAAGGCCUUCGGGUUGUAAAGCUCUUUUGUCAGGGAAGAAACGGUGAAAGCUAAUAUCUUUUGCUAAUGACGGUACCUGAAGAAUAAGCACCGGCUAACUACGUGCCAGCAGCCGCGGUAAUACGUAGGGUGCUAGCGUUAAUCGGAAUUACUGGGCGUAAAGCGUGCGCAGGCGGUUUUGUAAGUCUGAUGUGAAAUCCCCGGGCUCAACCUGGGAAUUGCAUUGGAGACUGCAAGGCUAGAAUCUGGCAGAGGGGGGUAGAAUUCCACGUGUAGCAGUGAAAUGCGUAGAUAUGUGGAGGAACACCGAUGGCGAAGGCAGCCCCCUGGGUCAAGAUUGACGCUCAUGCACGAAAGCGUGGGGAGCAAACAGGAUUAGAAACCCGUGUAGUCCC